CCCACCCCUGUGGCUGUGUGAUUCAAGAAACCAAAUUGCCAUGCCCAGGUUUUUUCUUCCUUGAGUGUCCAUCAGACAGAACGCUCAGCAAAGGGAGAUCAGAUCCAAGGGAAUUUCUGGGGAACAGGGCUUGCAUCCUCCAUCACCUCAGCUGGAGACGCUGGCAUUUCCCCCAGAGCAGAGUUAAUAUUCUCUGUGCCUGCAGCAGCAGCAACCCCCAGCCCUCUCCUCCUCAGCUCCCCCUUCCCAGGCUGAAUGUUUUGGCAGACUUCUUGUUCCAAACCAGUGGACCUUGUAACGCCUCGGAAUGCAUAAUCCAAACCUCCCUGCCUAGGAAAGGCAGGAGUUGGGACAAAGCAGCCUGCACCUUCAAUCCUUUAGUUACCAGUUCAAGCUGUGUGGAAGGAAAAAGGGGUUUUCUCUGUGUUUUCGUUUUCCUCCUGCCCUGGCCUGCCCCACUGAGUCCCUCAGACCCACAGAGGCCUCGAGGAGCUGCAUUCCCUGCUGGGAAUGAGCCAGCUCUGCAGCCAGGAGCAUCAAAGAACAUCUUCCCCUGGUGUUCCAUGGCUUGUGAUCCCUGCUGAAAGGCAGCUCCAGCUUUUUUGAACACCUCAGAGCUGCUCCAAGGCCAUACAAGAGUGAUUAAGGGAACAAUCAGGAGUCUGUGACACACAUUUCUGCUCUUGUCUGCCAGGACAGGUGAGCCCAGGACAAACCAGAAGAGAAGAGCUCCUGCCUGGCUGUGCCUCGCAGAAGCGCCGUGUCUGAGCACGCCGGGCUGAUCCAAGGUGUCAUGUGUGCAUCAUUUAAAUUAACGUUGCUAAAACAACAAUGCUAUUUUUAAUAUUUAAAGAGCCCCUUUGAAGAGUAGGAGAAUCUGUCACCUUUCCUGGUGGAUUUGAAUCCUGUGUUCUGAGGGUUUUUCUUCUCUGAUUAAAGCAGUUGCCUGCAUGA